rnacentral:rRNA from 1 species
UACGUAGGUGGCAAGCGUUGUCCGGAAUUAUUGGGCGUAAAGAGCUCGUAGGCGGUUUGUCGCGUCUGCCGUGAAAGUCCGGGGCUCAACUCCGGAUCUGCGGUGGGUACGGGCAGACUAGAGUGAUGUAGGGGAGACUGGAAUUCCUGGUGUAGCGGUGAAAUGCGCAGAUAUCAGGAGGAACACCGAUGGCGAAGGCAGGUCUCUGGGCAUUAACUGACGCUGAGGAGCGAAAGCCAGGGGAGCAAACGGG